AGUAGCUAUGCCAUCUGAACAAGCUUGUAAAUAGAUUUUCCUCCGUGUCUACGAGAAGCUGAAUCAGCCUUUCCUGAUUGUGUGGAGCCAAAGAGAAACACUGAGAGUUGAGGCUGUGGCCAUUCCAAGAUCUGUCUGUCCACUCCAGACCUCUGCACAAAUUUAUGGUGUUGGCCACAGAGAGCACCAAGACUGAGAAGAAGAGGUGAAAACACAGAGGCCCCACCUCAGGAUGGAAG